AUCCUGCUGAACUCCAGCCAGGGUUUCCCAAGGCUUUUUAGACAUCGUAGCUAUAGCAACGGGAACCCAAACAACUCUGUUCCCUACAUGACAUGACUUUGUUGGGUGUUUCUUACAGUUGGAAUUCAGCUGUGAUCAAAUGUAGAGGUGACAGCUCCGCCGAGGAGGUAUAACACACACACAGCAGGACCUAAUCAAGCUGCAAAGUCACCUGAAGAGAUGAGAGCAGUGGGAGCUGUAGGCAAUACGGGUGGAUUCAGGAGCAAUGCCAGCCCCACACCACACAGCGGAGAAAUCAAUCGCACUGUCACAAAAUGAAGAUUAGAAAUAGGAAUUUCUUCCUCCAUCAAAGUCAGCCUGAUGGACUGGAGCAGACACAUAAAAACAUGAUCUCAUUGAGUCAAAGGAGGUUGCACAAGAAGAACCUGAAAGACACUGGAGGGCCUUGACCACAACCUCACUCAUGAAGGGGAAAAUACUCAACUUGUAUAAUUUCUUAUGGAACUCACUUCCAAAAACAGUCUUUGCACUUGCACGAAACAAAAGACAGAAUGACCACCAGGCUGAUCACAAUAUGUCCCAAUCCAGCUGCAGCAAACAUGUCUUUCCUGUGAAAAUCUAUACACCUGUGAAAGCUGAAGGAAAAGCUCCAACUGGAACCACCAUCCUCAACUGUUACAUGAAGUUGUGUCUUCAUCUACAAGACUUGCAAGCUGAAGGCUACAAAAUAAACUUGGUGACAACGUCCAAAUGCUUCAACACAUCACUGAACGGCUGUUACAAAAACCCCUGUCACUAA
rnacentral:lncRNA from 1 species